rnacentral:rRNA from 1 species
CCUACGGGUGGCUGCAGUGAGGAAUAUUGGUCAAUGGGCGAGAGCCUGAACCAGCCAAGUCGCGUGAAGGAUGAAGGCUCUAUGGGUUGUAAACUUCUUUUAUAGGGGAAUAAAGUGAGGCACGUGUGCCUUUUUGUAUGUACCAUAUGAAUAAGCAUCGGCUAACUCCGUGCCAGCAGCCGCGGUAAUACGGAGGAUGCGAGCGUUAUCCGGAUUUAUUGGGUUUAAAGGGGGCGUAGUUGGUUAGUUAAGUCAGCGGUGAAAGUUUGUGGCUCAACCCUAAAAUUGCCGUUGAAACUGGUUGCCUUGCGUAUAUUUGCGGUAGGCGCAAUGCGUGGUGUAGCGGUGACAUGCCUCGAUAUCACGCAGAACUCCGAUUGCGACGGCAGCCUACUAAACU